UGUUUCGGCAAGGGGGUCAUCCCGACUUACCAACCCGAUGCAAACUGCGAAUACCGGAGAAUGUUAUCACGGGAGACACACGGCGGGUGCUAACGUCCGUCGUGAAGAGGGAAACAACCCAGACCGCCAGCUAAGGUCCCAAAGUCAUGGUUAAGUGGGAAACGAUGUGGGAAGGCCCAGACAGCCAGGAUGUUGGCUUAGAAGCAGCCAUCAUUUAAAGAAAGCGUAAUAGCUCACUGGUCGAGUCGGCCUGCGCGGAAGAUGUAACGGGGCUAAACCAUGCACCGAAGCUGCGGCAGCGACGCUGAUGCGUUGUUGGGUAGGGGAGCGU
rnacentral:rRNA from 1 species